CUUUACUGAGAGACCACUUCAGGAUUCAGAUGCACUGUCGGCUGUGAUGGGCAAGGAGAGGACAGAUUUUACCUUACAGUGCUUGGUUCUCUGCACUUUACUCCCAGAAUAAAAGCAGGAAUUUCAAGAGCUGUGCUGGAUGUGGCAUUUUAGCACCAGAACAAGUACCUGGAGCAUGAGGAAACUUGUCAUACAGCAGCUGAGGUUUUGAGACCAAAACUGGAAAUAUAGAUGGGCUAGGAGUGCAUCCAAUAUUUUAGCCCCAGCCCUCUGAGGUCUAUGAGGACCCAGGACAUCAGAGAACCUCUGCUGUGACAUCCCAUAACUUGGGACCUGAAAUCCUGGGACUGGGGAUCUUUAGCCUAAACAAGUAAAUUCACUCAGCAUGAAAAUGAUUUGAGAAGAAGGUCUUCUGCACAAUCCUCCAAACACAGCUCCUCCAACUCCAAAGACCACCCAUCACUCACAACUACAGAACAGAAAAUGGGACUUUUCUCCUUCAAUAUGUGUGUGUCAGGUACUGUGUCUCAACCACAAGGGAAGUAACUAAGAUAUGUUGAUAAUAGGUGUUCAUGUCCUUUGUAUUACUACCAUGAGAGCAACUGCUGGAUAAUAUGCUAAGAGUAUAUUUAGUGUUGUGAUUGACUAAUAAGCUAUCUUCCAAGGUGGCUCUAUCAUUUUGCAUUCCCACCAGCAAUGAAUAAGAUUCCUUCAUUGGCAGGAUUUGGCGUGGUCACUGCUCUCCCUUUUUAAUGGUCAUUUUGUGGUAUCUCAUUGUUUAAUUACCAUCUCCCUGGUGACAAGUUAU